rnacentral:lncRNA from 1 species
GUGCUGGCUUUAAAAGUGCUGUUACUGUCAGAAAAAUCCUAACUGCAGCAUAAAAAUGCCCCUUUUGCCUCUGCCUCCCAGCUCCUUUUUGGACCCAGUCCUCCUGAUUUUUAUUGGCAGCCCCGGUUUGCAGUCCUGCCAGAACCCUGAGGACUAUGGGUUGUGCUGUGCCUCAUGCAUCAGUGACAAAAUUGUCCUCUGAGCUCUGUACCUGUAACAGAGUCAGAUGUCAUCGGCAGAAAGAUCCCAUCUUGGACUCCUGCUCCCUUAGCCAGGAUAGACAUACCUGCUGCAUAUCUAUACAUAGCUUGUUGAGAUCAACAUUUCCAAGUUGGCACUGUUGGAAGACAGUCAAGACAGGAAGAAGCUCACAGACUUGAUCCUGGAGGCUGUUCCUGUGUCCAGAUGUUUCUGCGGUGCCAGAGGGAUCUCUCUAGUCCAUCUCCCCAUCUCUGCUGGAAGAUUAAACUCGCUUGUUAAUGGAGAGUGGAGCUUGGAGUGUAGUAGGAAGAAGACAGGAGUGUGCUAAGUUUAUGGGAGGGUGACAAUAUGCUACGAUUAAAAGAACUAAGUAAGAAAUCAAGAGAUUGAGGUUCUAAUCCUCCCUCUUCCACAAACUCUUUGUGUCUUUUGGGCAAGCAAGAUGUCAUAGAGAGUCACUACAAAGAAAGAAGACUAGCAGUUGAGAGACCUAAAACUAAGAAGAAAUUUGGGUAGUAAAGCCCAUGACCUCAACUAUCCAUACCUAAAUGCCUAAAGUUUAGACAACAAACAAGAGAAGUCAUAAGGCAAAUUUGACCUCACAGAUAUCCCUGAGAGUUGAUGGAAUGAAGCUGUCUAGAAAACAACAACAGCAUAGGUUAAAGAAGUGGGAAAGAGGGUAGUACUGUAUUUUAAGAAGUUAUACUCAUGUGAGGAAAUCUAGGAACCAUAGAGAAGAAGCAUGAUGAGGAAGUAUUUGGGUAGAGGUCAGUGGAAGAAGAAACAGAAGAGACUUUGUCAUUGGAGUAGAUUACAGAUCAUCUGGUCAGAAAGAGGAAAUAGAUAAGGAGCUUAGCACAGAAGCAUGAUAUUUUAAUGAUGUGUGACUUUAGUUAUCCAGAAAUCCGUUAUAACUUAUUCUCUGCCAAAAGCAAAGUAGCUAAUAACUUCUUGACUUUCCUUAGUGAUAAUUUCAUCUUCCAAAAGGUAGAGGAACCCACAAGGGAUAAUUUUGCUCUGGGUAUGAUUCUCAGUAAUAAGGCACUAGUUGCUGAUAUGUAAUGAUAGAAACCCUGAGAGGAAGUGACCACCUUUCUAGAAUUUGAAUGGUGUGUAGUCUACACAUGUACCUUGCAAUACCAAAUUAAAAUGUAAUUGGGAAAUAUUUCACAAAAUAAAAAUUCAGUAGAACAUAGUUAAUGUUAAUAU